GACGAACGCUGGCGGCGUGCUUAACACAUGCAAGUUGAACGGAGCACAUCAAGUAGCAAUACGAGGUGUGCUUAGUAGCGGACGGGUGAGUAACGCGUGAGCAACCUACCUUUGUGAGGGGGACAACAGCUGGAAACGGCUGCUAAUACCGCAUAAGGCCACGACCCCGAUUGGGGACGAGGUAAAAGAUUUAUCGCACAAAGAUGGGCUCGCGUCCCAUUAGCUAGUUGGUGAGGUAACGGCCCACCAAGGCUUCGAUGGGUAGCCGACCUGAGAGGGUGAUCGGCCACACUGGAACUGAGACACGGUCCAGACUCCUACGGGAGGCAGCAGUGGGGAAUAUUGGGCAAUGGGCGCAAGCCUGACCCAGCAACGCCGCGUGAGGGAAGAAUGUCUUCGGAUUGUAAACCUCUGUCCUUGGGGACGAAAAAAAUGACGGUACCCAAGGAGGAAGCUCCGGCUAACUACGUGCCAGCCGCCGCCGUAA
rnacentral:rRNA from 1 species